GUGGGGAAUCUUCCACAAUGGACGAAAGUCUGAUGGAGCAACGCCGCGUGAGUGAAGAAGGGUUUCGGCUCGUAAAGCUCUGUUGUCGGGGACGAAUGUGCAGUAUUUGAAUAAAGUAGUGCAAUGACGGUACCUGACGAGGAAGCCACGGCUAACUACGUGCCAGCAGCCGCGGUAAUACGUAGGUGGCAAGCGUUGUCCGGAAUUAUUGGGCGUAAAGGGAGCGCAGGCGGGAAGGUAAGUCGGUCUUAAAAGUGCGGGGCUCAACCCCGUGAUGGGAUCGAAACUAUCUUUCUUGAGUGCAGGAGAGGAAAGUGGAAUUCCUAGUGUAGCGGUGAAAUGCGUAGAUAUUAGGAGGAACACCAGUGGCGAAGGCGACUUUCUGGACUGUAACUGACGCUGAGGCUCGAAAGCCAGGGGAGCGAACGGGAUUAGAAACCCUAGUAGUCC
rnacentral:rRNA from 1 species